rnacentral:rRNA from 1 species
UACGUAGGGUGCAAGCGUUAAUCGGAAUUACUGGGCGUAAAGCGUGCGCAGGCGGUUUCGUAAGUCUGUCGUGAAAUCCCCAGGCUUAACCUGGGAAUGGCGAUGGAGACUGCGAGGCUAGAGUUUGGCAGAGGGGGGUAGAAUUCCACGUGUAGCAGUGAAAUGCGUAGAGAUGUGGAGGAACACCGAUGGCGAAGGCAGCCCCCUGGGUCAAAACUGACGCUCAUGCACGAAAGCGUGGGGAGCAAACAGG